CACGUCCAAUAUCCUAUGAUUACAUACAAACAUACACUUCUUUAUCCUCCACCCCCACCACUUCCCAUUUUCAACUUCAUCUCCUUUCUCUCCACCACCAAACUGAUCAUAUAUGUCUCCUCCAUUAAUUCCCACCAUCGAAAUGUCUGAUAACAUCAUCAUCCCAUCUUCACCACCACGACCACCAUCUCCUUUCAAGGUUCAGUUAGUAUCUGGAUCUACAUCGGAAAGACUUCUUGUAAAAUUCGCAGACGUAUCUGAAUUCGGAUUCGAUUACUCCCAAAGCGGCCUCUGGUCUCCUCCCGUUCGCAGGACUGUGUUCCUGAGUUCGCCUGGAAAGAUCUUGACGCCAGAUCAGAUGCUGCAGAAGUUGGAAUCGAUGGCACGGCAACGAAGAAGAUACACAUACUGUCUCAACGUAUGAUACAUACUUGCAGGCACUUUUGUGCUCACCUAAAAGAUGAAGUCUGUUCGAGUACUCCAAUUAUUAAUAUUGUAAAUGUUGGAUUAUAUAAUUAAUUAAUUGAUUUUAUUUUAGAAUGUAAAUUUGCAUUUUGUAAUUCACAUGUUUGCAUGUGGUUGUUUUAACUCAUCCCAUGUGGAAAAUAUAUAUUUCCAGUUUA